CUGAUGUGUUGGGCCAAUCACGAAGCGUCAUUUCUUGACUGGCAGCAAAAACAACCAAUCACAGCAGUGCUUCUCUGGCUGGCUCUGUCCAAUCACAAACAAGAAGUGUUCUCCCUAAGGAAUACCCUUUCCGUCCAAUGUGAAAUGCUGUGGCAUCUUGCACUUCAGGGUCACCGUGCGUUUGUUUUGUUUCUCAGGCUCGUUUAACUAAAGGCUGGUGUACUGGGUGGCGGCGGCGUUCGGCAGCAGUAUCCGGGGUUUCGGGUUCGGCCUCUCCUUCCUGCCGAGCAUCGCCAUGACGGUCGCCAACAUGAUCUUUCUGUUCACAGUGGAGGCGGGGGGGUCGGUGUUCAGCCUCCCACCCGCCCCUCAGGAGGCGCUGACUCCACCCGCCGGCCGGCAGCGGUUCUGGGGAUGAUCCGAUGCUGAGAUGUUUUUUAAACGCUAUUUUUUUUAUAAAAGGAAACUUUCUUUAAAGGUUUCUGUGUUAAUAAAGUUGUAUUCUGAAAUGUUUGAAGAUGUAAGCCCCCCUCCAAUGUUUAAUAAUUUGUUUGUAGGAAUCAACUUGUUUUAUUAUUUCCAUUUAAGUUUAAUAUCUGUUUAAUGAACCUUAAUUAUUUGAUUCUCACAAUAAAAAAUCUGCUUUUAUAAAAACUGUUUUCCCAUUUCACAAUAAAAGCAUGACAUAUUUUA